rnacentral:rRNA from 1 species
CCUACGGGAGGCAGCAGUGGGGAAUAUUGGACAAUGGGGGAAAGCCUGAUCCAGCCAUGCCGCGUGUGUGAAGAAGGCCUUCGGGUUGUAAAGCACUUUCAGUGGGGAAGAAAGCCUUGGGGCUAAUACCCUCGAGGAAGGACAUCACCCACAGAAGAAGCACCGGCUAACUCCGUGCCAGCAGCCGCGGUAAUACGGAGGGUGCGAGCGUUAAUCGGAAUUACUGGGCGUAAAGCGCGCGUAGGCGGUCUGAUAAGCCGGUUGUGAAAGCCCCGGGCUCAACCUGGGAACGGCAUCCGGAACUGUCAGGCUAGAGUGCAGGAGAGGAAGGUAGAAUUCCCGGUGUAGCGGUGAAAUGCGUAGAGAUCGGGAGGAAUACCAGUGGCGAAGGCGGCCUUCUGGACUGACACUGACGCUGAGGUGCGAAAGCGUGGGUAGCAAACAGGAUUAGAUACCCGAGUAGC